rnacentral:rRNA from 1 species
GUUGUAUGGUCAAGUAAUGAAGUGCACAUGGUGGAUGCCUUGGCAGUCAGAGGCGAUGAAAGACGUGAUAGCCUGCGAUAAGCGUCGGUGAGGUGGCAAUAUCCUGUGACCCGGCGAUUUCUGAAUGGGGAAACCCACUUAUCAUAAGAUAGGUAUUCUAUCCUUUGGAUAGAAGGCGAACCGGGAGAAGUGAAACAUCUCAGUACCCCGAGGAAAAGACAUCAAUAGAGAUUCCCCAAGUAGCGGCGAGCGAACGGGGAGUAGCCGAUCAAACUUGUAGUAGCAAAAUGGCGUGGGAAAGCCAACCAUAGUAGGUGAUAGUCCUGUAUGCGAAACUGCAAAUGCGACAUAUUAAGUAGGGCGAGACACGUGAAAUCUUGUCUGAAGAUGGGGGGACCAUCCUCCAAGGCUAAAUACUCCUGACUGACCGAUAGUGAACCAGUACCGUGAGGGAAAGGCGAAAAGAACCCCUGUUAGGGGAGUGAAAUAGAACCUGAAACCGUGUGCAUACAAGCAGUCGGAGCCCACUUGUUGGGUGACGGCGUACCUUUUGUAUAAUGGGUCAGCGACUUAUAUUCUGUAGCAAGGUUAACCGUUUAGGGGAGCCGUAGGGAAACCGAGUCUUAAUAGGGCGAUUAAGUUGCAGGGUAUAGACCCGAAACCGAGUGAUCUAUCCAUGAGCAGGUUGAAAGUGCCGUAACAGGCACCGGAGGACCGAACCCACUGUCGUUGAAAAGCCAGGGGAUGACUUGUGGAUAGGGGUGAAAGGCUAAUCAAACUCGGUGAUAGCUGGUUCUCCCCGAAAGCUAUUUAGGUAGCGCCUCGGACGAACACCAUUGGGGGUAGAGCACUGUUUCGGCUAGGGGGUCAUCCCGACUUACCAAACCGAUGCAAACUCCGAAUACCGAUGAGUGAUAUCCGGGAGACAGACGGCGGGUGCUAACGUCCGUCGUCAAGAGGGAAACAACCCAGACCGCCAGCUAAGGCCCCAAAUUCCUAGUUAAGUGGGAAACGAUGUGGGAAGGCACAGACAGCUAGGAUGUUGGCUUAGAAGCAGCCAUCAUUUAAAGAAAGCGUAAUAGCUCACUAGUCGAGUCGGCCUGCGCGGAAGAUGUAACGGGGCUCAAACUAGGAGCCGAAGCUGCGGAUUUAAUUGUUUCAAUUAAGUGGUAGGGGAGCGUUGUGUAAGCCUGUGAAGGUGUAUCGUAAGGUAUGCUGGAGGUAUCACAAGAGCGAAUGCUGACGUGAGUAACGACAAAACGGGUGAAAAGCCCGUUCGCCGGAAGACCAAGGGUUCCAGUCCAACGUUAAUCGGGGCUGGGUGAGUCGACCCCUAAGGCGAGGCCGAAAGGCGUAGUCGAUGGGAAAUCGGUUAAUAUUCCGAUACUUGUUUAUGAUGCGAUGGAGGGACGGAGAAGGUUAUGUCAGCCUGGCGUUGGUUGUCCAGGUGGAAGGAUGUAGGUAGGUUUAGUAGGCAAAUCCGCUAGACUAUUACUGAGAUCUGAUAGCAAGCCAGUUUACUGGCGAAGUGGCAAAUACCCUGCUUCCAGGAAAAGCUUCUAAGCGAUAGUCAUAAACAAAUCGUACCCGAAACCGACACAGGUGGUCAGGUAGAGAAUACCAAGGCGCUUGAGAGAACUCUGCUGAAGGAACUAGGCAAAAUGGUACCGUAACUUCGGGAGAAGGUACGCUGCCGAUGGUGAUUAAACUUGCUUUAUGAGCUGUUGGCAGUCGCAGAUACCAGGCUGCUGCAACUGUUUAUUAAAACACAGCACUCUGCAAACACGAAAGUGGACGUAUAGGGUGUGAUGCCUGCCCGGUGCUGGAAGGUUAAUUGAUGGGGUUAGCGUAUGCGAAGCUCUUGAUCGAAGCCCCAGUAAACGGCGGCCGUAACUAUAACGGUCCUAAGGUAGCGAAAUUCCUUGUCGGGUAAGUUCCGACCUGCACGAAUGGCAUAAUGAUGGCAGCGCUGUCUCCAGCAGAGACUCAGUGAAAUCGAAAUCGCAGUGAAGAUGCUGUGUACCCGCGGCUAGACGGAAAGACCCCGUGAACCUUUACUACAGCUUUACAUUGAACUUUGACCUAACUUGUGUAGGAUAGGUGGGAGGCUUUGAAGUGGCGACGCCAGUUGCCAUGGAGCCAUCCUUGAAAUACCACCCUGGUUAUGUUGGGGUUCUAACUUGAGAUUAACAGAUCUAAGGACAAUGUAUGGUGGGUAGUUUGACUGGGGCGGUCUCCUCCUAAAGAGUAACGGAGGAGUACGAAGGUGCGCUCAGAACGGUCGGAAAUCGUUCAAAGAGUAUAAAGGCAAAAGCGCGCUUAACUGCGAGACCCACAAGUCGAGCAGGUACGAAAGUAGGUCUUAGUGAUCCGGUGGUUCUGUAUGGAAGGGCCAUCGCUCAACGGAUAAAAGGUACUCUGGGGAUAACAGGCUGAUACCGCCCAAGAGUUCAUAUCGACGGCGGUGUUUGGCACCUCGAUGUCGGCUCAUCUCAUCCUGGGGCUGAAGCAGGUCCCAAGGGUAUGGCUGUUCGCCAUUUAAAGAGGUACGCGAGCUGGGUUUAGAACGUCGUGAGACAGUUCGGUCCCUAUCUACCGUGGGCGUUGGAAAUUUGAGAGGAUCUGCUCCUAGUACGAGAGGACCAGAGUGGACGAACCUCUGGUGUUCCGGUUGUUUCGCCAGAAGCAUCGCCGGGUAGCUACGUUCGGAUGGGAUAACCGCUGAAAGCAUCUAAGCGGGAAGCCCACCUCAAGAUAAGAUUUCCCUAAAGAGCCGUUGUAGACUACGACGUUGAUAGGUUGGGUGUGGAAGCAUGGUGACAUGUGUAGCUAACCAAUACUAAUUGCUCGUUUGGCUUGACCAUACAACACCCAAG